CAGCUUGUUGGUGGGGUAAAAGCCUACCAAGGCGACGAUCUGUAGCUGGUCUGAGAGGACGACCAGCCACACUGGGACUGAGACACGGCCCAGACUCCUACGGGAGGCAGCAGUGGGGAAUUUUGGACAAUGGGCGCAAGCCUGAUCCAGCCAUGCCGCGUGCGGGAAGAAGGCCUUCGGGUUGUAAACCGCUUUUGUCGGGGAAGAAACGCUCCAGAUUAAUACCUUGGAGUAAUGACGGUACCCGAAGAAUAAGCACCGGCUAACUACGUGCCAGCAGCCGCGGUAAUACGUAGGGUGCAAGCGUUAAUCGGAAUUACUGGGCGUAAAGCGUGCGCAGGCGGCUUUGCAAGACAGAUGUGAAAUCCCCGGGCUUAACCUGGGAACUGCAUUUGUGACUGCAUGGCUGGAGUGCGGCAGAGGGGGAUGGAAUUCCGCGUGUAGCAGUGAAAUGCGUAGAUAUGCGGAGGAACACCGAUGGCGAAGGCAAUCCCCUGGGCCUGCACUGACGCUCAUGCACGAAAGCGUG
rnacentral:rRNA from 1 species